GCCUUCUUAGUACAAAAGUAUAUUUGGCUUCCAACCAAAAGAUCUAAGUGCUAUCUUAGAGUAGGCA
rnacentral:tRNA from 1 species